UCUAGAACUCGAGAUAUACGAUGAACAUUAAACAGUGUUUGGGCUGCAGGACAGAUUCUGAAUUCUCUUUUGUUUCUACAAUUUGAACUUGGAAACGGCCGUUUUGAAUCAUGGACUCUUCAUGAAAGUUUUAGGCCUAUGUCUUAGCUUUCCAUC
rfam:Populus trichocarpa scaffold_8_contig_200, whole genome shotgun sequence.